rnacentral:rRNA from 1 species
GACGAACGCUGGCGGCGUGCUUAACACAUGCAAGUCGAACGGAAAGGCCCUGCUUUUGUGGGGUGCUCGAGUGGCGAACGGGUGAGUAACACGUGAGUAACCUGCCCUUGACUUUGGGAUAACUUCAGGAAACUGGGGCUAAUACCGGAUAGGAGCUCCUGCUGCAUGGUGGGGGUUGGAAAGUUUCGGCGGUUGGGGAUGGACUCGCGGCUUAUCAGCUUGUUUGUGGGGUAGUGGCUUACCAAGGCUUUGACGGGUAGCCGGCCUGAGAGGGUGACCGGCCAAAUUGGGACUGAGAGACGGCCCAGACUCCAACGGGAGGCAGCAGUGGGGAAUAUUGCACAAUGGGCGGAAGCCUGAUGCAGAAACGCCGCGGGCGGGAUGACGGCCUUCGGGUUGUAAACCGCUUUCGCAUGUGACGAAGCGUGAGUGACGGUAAUGGGUAAAGAAGCACCGGCUAACUACGUG